UACGGGGGGGAGCAAGCGUUGUUCGGAUUUACUGGGCGUAAAGGGCGCGUAGGCGGUCGUGACAAGUCACUUGUGAAAUCUCCGGGCUUAACUCGGAACGGUCAAGUGAUACUGUCGGACUAGAGUACAGAAGGGGCAACUGGAAUUCUCGGUGUAGCGGUGAAAUGCGUAGAUAUCGAGAGGAACACCUGCGGCGAAGGCGGGUUGCUGGGCUGAUACUGACGCUGAGGCGCGAAGGCCAGGGGAGCGAACGGG
rnacentral:rRNA from 1 species